UCAAGCUAGGCAAACUAAUAAGUACAUGCUAUUGGCAAUGAGAAUAGCAGAAACAUAAGUAAAAGUACACAAGAAAACAGAAGGAAGUGCAGAACUAAUAGAAGCAUGUUGUUUUGGAGGCUAUAACUUAAAGAGGUGACAUACUAGUUGCAGAUAAUAGAAACAAUAGAAAUGAGCAAUAGUGCACAAAGGAGAGCAAAGUGUGCAGAGAUUGUGCAGAGAGUGAGAGCAGAAGUGUGCAGAGAAGCAAGCAGCAGGUAAACCCAAGUAAAUAAUGCAGUAUAGCCCCAGUAGUAGAAAUAAAUACCCAAGAUUACUCAAUCUUGAAUUUUAGCCGAUUGAGUGUUCAAUAGGAGAAUGAAAGAGUUUUUACAGAAACAAUAGAGAAAGAGAUAGCACUGCGUGUUAUUGAAAGAGAGUUCAGAGAGAUUACAAUGUGUUGGUGUGUGUUAAGUGAGAAAGGAAGAACAAUACUUAUAGUUUUUCAAAGAAUAGUAGAGAAUAGGGUAAGGAGUAUAUAAUUAUAGAAACAGUACCAAAUUGAAUCAAUCAUAGGUCCUAAUGCAACUAAAUCAGGGACUCAUGAUUCGAAUAGGAGUAUAGGCUACAAAAUAAGGAAAGAAUAAUUCUGAUUACUGAUUAUACCAUAACAAAAGCAGUAAGCAUGCUGCAUGUAAUAGAGUCUAGGCACACAAUGCUUCAAGCAAGGAAAAAUAUACGCGGGAUAGACAAAAAUAUAUUUAAGUGCACAGUUAUGGUAACCAUAUAAAUUAACCAUGGAAAUCAAUCAAAGAGUCACAGGCAAGACAAAAAUAAGAGAGAAUCCGUCCCAAACAUAUAGAGCAAUCUCAUAAAGUAAGGAAACAAUUUGUAAAAUCAGUGUAUGAACACCUACAAGUUAGGGAUUCAAAAAGAUGCUCGGAAUUAACAGAAUAUUCAGUAAAGAAAGGCAUUCGAAUUUUUUUAAGCAAAACAACCACAAAACUAAGAACCCUAAGCAAGAAAUUCCAUAAAACAAUGGGGAGUCGGAACCCUAGAAAGAUUUAAGACAUGGAACUCAGAAAACAAAAGGUUUCAAGCACAUAGCAUGGGAGUAAUCACAUAAUAUCCAAAAGAAACAGAAGCAUAAUGAUUAAAAAAGGGUCAGAACCCCUAGUUUUAAUAAGGGGAAGAGGAAUUUUGAAAACUUGAAUUAGUUAAAGAUAUCGAGUAAACGUAGUGUAGAACACAAAGAUUAAACUGAAAAUUGUUUAAAAAGAACUAAGAUUAAAUAGAUUUAGGCAAAAAUUAGGGUUUGAAAAAUAAAUUAGGGAAAUGAGAACCCUGGCCGUGAAACUCGUUAAUAAUGCCAUACAAGGAAUCAUCGGACAAAAACCCAUCGGUGAAAAGCCAGCAGCAGACCCAGGCAAAGCUUCAGCGACCAUCUUUCAUGGCAGAAUAUUCUGGGCUUCAAACUUUAGAGAGAAACAAUGAGAUGAGGGUUCCAUGGUGACUAGAGAUCGAGAGAAGUGAGGGAGGAGUAUGGCUGGAGAGGCGACGAGCUUCAUCGAAGAAGAAGGAACCAAAAGUUUCUAGAGAAAAG
rnacentral:lncRNA from 1 species